rnacentral:rRNA from 1 species
ACGAACGCUGGCGGCAUGCCUAACACAUGCCAGUCGAACGAGACCUUCGGGUCUAGUGGCGCACGGGUGCGUAACGCGUGGGAACCUGCCCUUAGGUUCGGAAUAACUCCCCGAAGGGGGUGCUAAUACCGGAUAAUGUCUUCGGACCAAAGAUUUAUCGCCUUUGGAUGGGCCCGCGUUGGAUUAGCUAGUUGGUAGGGUAAAAGCCUACCAAGGCGACGAUCCAUAGCUGGUCUGAGAGGAUGAUCAGCCACACUGGGACUGAGACACGGCCCAGACUCCUACGGGAGGCAGCAGUGGGGAAUAUUGGACAAUGGGCGAAAGCCUGAUCCAGCAAUGCCGCGUGAGUGAUGAAGGCCUUAGGGUUGUAAAGCUCUUUUACCCGGGAUGAUAAUGACAGUACCGGGAGAAUAAGCUCCGGCUAACUCCGU